CCGCCCGUCACACCAUGGGAGUGGGUUGCACCAGAAGCAGAUAGUCUAACCUUCGGGAGGACGCUUGCCACGGUGUGAUUCAUGACUGGGGUG
rnacentral:rRNA from 1 species